UGGGGAAUCUUCCGCAAUGGCGAAAGCCUGACGGAGCAACGCCGCGUGAGUGAAGACGGCCUUCGGGUUGUAAAGCUCUGUUAUACGGGACGAAUAAUCUUGUGGUUAAUACCCAUAAGAAGUGACGGUACCGUAAGAGAAAGCCACGGCUAACUACGUGCCAGCAGCCGCGGUAAUACGUAGGUGGCAAGCGUUGUCCGGAAUUAUUGGGCGUAAAGGGCGCGCAGGCGGCUUCUUAAGUCUGUCUUAAAAGUGCGGGGCUUAACCCCGUGAUGGGAUGGAAACUGGGAAGCUCAGAGUAUCGGAGAGGAAAGCGGAAUUCCUAGUGUAGCGGUGAAAUGCGUAGAUAUUAGGAGGAACACCAGUGGCGAAAGCGGCUUUCUGGACGAAAACUGACGCUGAGGCGCGAAAGCCAGGGGAGCGAACGGGAUUAGAUACCCCGGUAGUCCUGGCCGUAAACGAUGGGUACUAGGUGUAGGAGGUAUCGACCCCUUCUGUGCCGGAGUUAACGCAAUAAGUACCCCGCCUGGGGAGUACGGCCGCAAGGUUG
rnacentral:rRNA from 1 species